rnacentral:rRNA from 1 species
UACGUAGGCAGCGAGCGUUGUUCGGAGUUACUGGGCGUAAAGGGUGUGUAGGCGGUUGUUUUAAGUUUUGGUGUGAAAUCUCCCGGCUCAACUGGGAGGGUGCGCCGAAUACUGAAUGACUUCGAGUGCGGGAGAGGAAAGUGGAAUUCCUGGUGUAGCGGUGAAAAUGCGUAGAUAUCAGGAGGAACACCAGUGGCGAAGGCGCCACUCUGGGGCCGUAACUGACGCUGAGGAGCGAAAAGCGUGGGGUAGCAAACAGG